AUUGAACGCUGGCGGCAUGCCUUACACAUGCAAGUCGAACGGCAGCGGACCUUCGGGUGCCGGCGAGUGGCGAACGGGUGAGUAAUGCAUCGGAACGUACCUUUCAGUGGGGGAUAACGUAGCGAAAGUUACGCUAAUACCGCAUAUUCUGUGAGCAGGAAAGCAGGGGAUCGCAAGACCUUGCGCGGAUUGAGCGGCCGAUGUCAGAUUAGCUAGUUGGUGAGGUAAAGGCUCACCAAGGCGACGAUCUGUAGCGGGUCUGAGAGGAUGAUCCGCCACACUGGAACUGAGACACGGUCCAGACUCCUACGGGAGGCAGCAGUGGGGAAUUUUGGACAAUGGGGGCAACCCUGAUCCAGCCAUGCCGCGUGAGUGAAGAAGGCCUUCGGGUUGUAAAGCUCUUUCGGCCGGGAAGAAAUCGCACGGGCUAAUACCCUGUGUGGAUGACGGUACCGGAAUAAGAAGCACCGGCUAACUACGUGCCAGCAGCCGCAGUAAGAC
rnacentral:rRNA from 1 species